AGGCGAGCAGAAGCUGCGCCGCACCGUGCUGCGCCGUCGCUUUUCGCACGUCCUGACGGGGGCGCUAGAUGAUGACGCGUCACGCAGAGGGGGCGGGGCACGCAAGUGACGGCGGCGCGGGUGGUGGAGCGCUGGGCGGCCAGGCUCCCUGGCUGGCCGGUUUGGGCGUCUGGGCCGUUAAAGUGGGACCGGCUGUUCCGGGCCGCAAGUUUCCCUCUCCAGCCGCCCGCCGUUCGUAGCAUGUCCCCCAGAACCCGGGGAGCGCAGGCAGGACAGACUUAGAGAAGACGCGGUCCCCAGCGCUUGGGCCACGGACGUCCCACCCCGCUCAUCUGUCGCUGGAGAACCGCCGGGCCGAGCCACUGGGAGAAGCAGGCCAGAGCCUUCCAGGGCCUCCGGCCCGUGGACCCGAGGAGGAUGAGCUGGCUCUUUCCCCUGACCAAGAGCGCCUCCUCCUCCGCGGCUGGGUCCCCCGGUGGCCUCACCAGCCUCCAGCAGCAGAAGCAGCGCCUGAUCGAGUCCCUCCGGAACUCACACUCCAGAUACAAGUUAUGCUGGCUAUCCAGAUUCUGUGAUUAAAAAUAAAGUAUAGCCGAAAUACAGAAAGAUGUGGAAUACAGAUUGCCAUUCACCAUAAACAACCUGACAAUUAACAUUAAUAUAUUGCUUCCUCCACAGUUUCCUCAGGAAAAACCAGUGAUCAGUGUUUAUCCACCAAUACGACAUCACUUAAUGGAUAAACAAGGAGUGUAUGUUACCUCUCCAUUAGUAAACAAUUUUACAAUGCACUCAGAUCUUGGAAAAAUUAUUCAGAGUCUGUUGGAUGAGUUUUGGAAGAAUCCUCCAGUUUUAGCUCCUACUUCAACAGCAUUUCCUUAUCUAUACAGUAACCCAAGUGGGAUGUCUCCUUAUGCUUCUCAGGGUUUUCCAUUUCUUCCUCCAUAUCCUCCACAAGAAGCAAACAGGAGUAUCACUUCUUUAUCUGUUGCUGACACUGUUUCUUCUUCAACAACAAGUCAUACCACAGCCAAGCCUGCCGCUCCUUCAUUUGGUGUCCUUUCAAAUCUGCCAUUACCCAUUCCCACAGUGGAUGCUUCAAUACCGACAAGCCAAAAUGGUUUUGGUUACAAGAUGCCAGAUGUCCCUGAUGCAUUUCCAGAACUCUCAGAACUAAGUGUGUCACAACUCACAGAUAUGAAUGAACAAGAGGAGGUAUUACUAGAACAGUUUCUGACUUUGCCUCAACUAAAACAAAUUAUUACCGACAAAGAUGACUUAGUAAAAAGUAUUGAGGAACUAGCAAGAAAAAAUCUCCUUUUGGAGCCCAUCUUGGAAGCCAAAAGACAAACUGUUUUAGAUAAGUAUGAAUUACUUACACAGAUGAAGUCCACUUUCGAAAAGAAGAUGCAAAGGCAGCAUGAACUUAGUGAGAGCUGUAGUGCAAGUGCCCUUCAGGCAAGAUUGAAAGUAGCUGCACACGAAGCUGAGGAAGAAUCUGAUAAUAUUGCAGAAGACUUCUUGGAGGGAAAGAUGGAAAUAGAUGAUUUUCUCAGUAGCUUCAUGGAAAAGAGAACAAUUUGCCACUGUAGAAGAGCCAAGGAAGAGAAACUUCAGCAGGCGAUAGCAAUGCACAGCCAAUUUCAUGCUCCACUAUAGACAUACACUGUCAAAUGGAAGAAAUUAAAGCCACAUCCUCAAUAUUAGGCAACAGAGUUUCUAAGAGUGGACAGCUCCAAGAAGGUUGUGAAGGAAACUUCAGGCAGUGAGAAACACGGCUUCAUCAGAAUCCCGGUCCUUGCCACUAUCUUCGCUCGGUGCAUGCUCACCACCACUUGGAGACCGACAGCUCAAAUCCUCCACCCCGGACUCUUGGUCACUGUUGGCUGACAGAUCUGGAUCUGAACUUUUCAGAUUGUCUUGGGUUAGAAUCAGAGCAGAAUCUUCAUCGCCUUGUGAAGGGCUCCGGGAUGGAAAUGAUUUCAUAUUCCCACUGUAAUCCUGGGGAGUGUUGGCUAUGCUGUUGUCUGAGGUAGAAAACCCUGAGUGCUUGCUGGGCUCACUUUGCUUACUCUUCACCUUAGUGCAAUUUAACUGGACCUUUUGAAUUUUUUCCAGCCUCUAAGAAAGAAAUAACAAUUUCAGGGGAAAAAUCAUAAAUAACUUAUCUUUUUCUAUAUAUGCAUGCCUUUAGCAUUUGUUACCUCCCAGGUGGGUAUAAUGUUAAGAACAUGUGACUCAGAGGGAUGUGAGUUCAAACCUGGACUUCACGACCUUGGACAAAAUCUGUGAGGCCUGCUUUAUCUCUAAUGUAAGGAUAAUACCUGCCUUGACAUAGGUUUUCUAUAAUCAUAAACAAUAUAGCACAGCUGAAGCACCCAGUGAACGCUAGUCUCCCUCUUUUCUAUACCUACAUGGUUUCAAAUGAUGAGUCUCAUCCCAUGAACUCAAAAAACAUUUUUUAGAAAUCAGGAAUGAAGUGUUUAUCAUCUAACUUUUAUGCUGAGAUACAAUUCACUUACCAUGAAACUCACCCUUUUAAAGUAUACAAUUCAGUGGUUUUUAGUUAUAUUCACAAGGUUGUGCAACGAUCACUACUAAUUAUAAAACACUGUCAUCACCUCCCCUGCCGAAAGAAAACCCCAUACUCAUUAGCAGUCAUUUCCCAUUCCUAUCUCCCCACAGCCCCUGGCUACUACUGAUCAACUUCUAUCUCUAUGGAUUUGCCUAGUCUAGAUGUUUUAUAUAAAUUGAAUGGAAUCAUACAACAUGUGGAUUUUUGUAUCUGGCUUCCUUCACUUAGCUUAUGUUCUCAAAAUUCAUUCAUGGUACAGCAUGUAUCAAGUACUUCAUUCCUUUUUCUGGCUGAACAGUAUUCCAUUACAUGGAUAUACCAGAUUUUGUUUCCCCAUUCAUCAUGUCAUGGACACCUGGGUUGUUCAGAAUACAUUUCACCAGAUUUCAUGUUUUGAUGUUAACAGAGGAGGUGUUAUAAGAUCAAGUAUUAUGUAUUCAUUCAAAACCAUUCAUUUAGGUUAUGUGCAAAAGCACUGUGCUGGGCAGUGUGAGGAACAGAGAUAAAUACAGACCCAGCCUUAAGGAACAUGGAGUAGUGGAGCAGAGAGAGGCAGAGUUCAUGCAAUGUAAGAAUUUCAAAAAGGCAAAAGUUCUUGAAGAGGGAUGAAAUGGUAAGGUUAGAAGGAAGAGAACAGAGUAAGUUUCAGGGAGGAAGGAACAUUUCAACAGGACUGUGAAAGAUUUAAACUUGGACAUGCUGGUGAUAGUAAGCAUUCCUGACAGGAGUAGGGACAGUGAGAGGACAAACACAAAGGUAGGAAGGUCUAAAUUGUAUACAAGCAGCAGAAACCAUUAAAUAUUAGCAUGGAAAAUAAAGCCGAAGAGAGAAAAUCUCAAAUGCCAGCCUAAGGAAUUUUGACUUUGUAAUAAGGAAGAGCCAGUUUUAAAGAGCCAGACUGCUAGAAUAGACUAAUAGAAUACUAAGAUGUUCAUAAACUACAUUAGUACCAUUGGAAACAAAGUUAUCCAAUUAGGAAAAGCAUUUUAUUAUAACCUCCCUGUCCAAGUACAGGGAAGUUAAUAGAAGACAAAAGAUAAGACUUUACAGUCAGUCUCCCCUUUUACCAAUUAUAGAUUAAUAUAAUAGUUAACAUAAUUUUUAAAAGUGGGGAAAGAUUUUUACAAGUACAUAUAUUUGAUUUUAUUCUUUUACUUUUUCACACUUUCCAGAAAAAAAAUUAAUUUUACUACUCUCAAAUAACAGUAACCAAAAAAGUUGACCUAAAAUAAGGAACAACCAAAAAUUUGUGGAACUGAGCCACAAACCAGAUGUGUGAAAUGCAUUAAAUGCCUAGGCUUGGGCUUCGGUUAUCUGAGUCCUGACCUGGAUGGGGUUGUGUUUCAGGUGUUCUACUGACUAAAAAUGUGAAAUAAUUGUAUUGCACUGAAUCUUAAGAGGCUUUCAUGAAGCCUUGCUCUUCAAGAAAUAAGCACAGAAAAUAGAUUAACAAAGCAAGUAUGUCUUACUUCUUCCAGGGCCUCUAGUUCUUCCUCUAGCUGCUGAGUUUCUUCCUUCACUGCCAUUAGGUAAUCUGUAACUGAUUGUCGGGGCUGCAUCCCCUUUUCAAAGCGGUUAUACAUUCCACUCCAAAACCUGGAAAGGAUGGCAAAGCGUCAUGAUACCACCUUAUCACAGUCUGAAAAUUCACAUCCUCAAGUCUUCUAAGGUAGCUAUGAUACCACAGUCUUAAUAAUAACCAAAUGCAAAUUUCAGCCUCAAAAAAGCCACUACUUAAGGUAAUAAUUUCAUGUUGAUGUUUUUUUUCUUGGGUCAGUAAAUGGCUUUUGGGGAGAAUAAGUUUAUGAAAAGUCUACCUGUAUAUAUGAAUUAGAAAGCACAGAAUACAUUUUUCUAAAAUUAAAAUAGUACAUGUAACCAUUUCCUUUUAAGAAAAUGGCUCUUAGUUUUCAACUUUGAAAUUGUAUAUUUAGAAUCUUUCAGCUACAAAGGGAAUCUUAAACUUGCAGCUUUUAUCUUUUGUAUCACGACCACUAAAAGUUGACAUUUGCAUUGGCAAUAACCUCCCCCCUCCCCCGCUUUUUUUUUUUAAUGGCAGAGUUUCGCUCUUGUCACCCAAACCGAAGUGCAGUGGUGUGAUAUCGGCUCCUUGCAACCUCCACCUCCCGGGUUCAAGCGAUUCUCCUGCCUCAGCCUCCCAAGUACCUGGGAUUACAGGCAUGCACCACCAUGCCUAAUUUUAUAUUUUUUUUAGUAGAGACAGGGUUUCACCAUGUUGGUCAGGUUGGUCAUGAACUCCUGACCUCAGGUGAUCCACCCACCUCAGCCUCCCAAAGUGCUGGAUUACAGGCGGGAGCCACCACGCCUGACCAAUAAAUCCCUUUUUAUCCUACACAAAAAAGCAACUGGAGUGCAAAUGAGAAAAAUGGUGUUAUCAUAGAGUUACCCUUAGAAUCACUAUUUUAUUUAUGUAGAUAAGUAAGUACUUUGAGGGCAAGGACUUGGUGUCAUUGUUUUAUCUGCAGUGCCCAGAACAGUGUUUGAUCCUCAAUAAAAUAUGUGUUGACUAGCUGUUAAUAAUAAA